UACAGAGGUGGCAAGCGUUGUUCGGAAUUACUGGGCGUAAAGGGCGCGUAGGCGGCCUUCUAAGUCAGACGUGAAAUCCCCAGGCUUAACUUGGGAACUGCGUCUGAUACUGGGAGGCUUGAGUGCGGGAGAGGGAUGUGGAAUUCCGAGGUGUAGCGGUGAAAUGCGUAGAUAUCUGGAGGACACCGGUGGCGAAGGCGGCAUCCUGGACCGACACUGACGCUGAGGCGCGAAAGCUAGGGGAGCAAAGCGGG
rnacentral:rRNA from 1 species